rnacentral:rRNA from 1 species
GACGAACGCUGGCGGCGUGCUUAACACAUGCAAGUCGAACGGAAAGGCCCUGCUUUUGUGGGGUGCUCGAGUGGCGAACGGGUGAGUAACACGUGAGUAACCUGCCCUUGACUUUGGGAUAACUUCAGGAAACUGGGGCUAAUACCGGAUAGGAGCUCCUGCUGCAUGGUGGGCGUUGGAAAGUUUCGGCGGUUGGGGCUGGACUCGCGGCUUAUCAGCUUGUUGGUGGGGUAGGGGCUUACCAAGGCUUUGACGGGUAGCCGGCCUGAGAGGGUGACCGGGCACAUUGGGACUGAGAUACGGACCAGACUCCUACGUGAGGCAGCAGUGGGGAAUAUUGCACAAUGGGCGGAAGCCUGAUGCAGCGACGCCGCGUGCGGGAUGACGGCCUUCGGGUGGUAAACCGCUGUCGCCUGUGACGAAGCGUGAGUGACGGUAAUGGGUAAAGAAGCACCGGCUAACUACGUG